rnacentral:rRNA from 1 species
GACGAACGCUGGCGGCGUGCUUAACACAUGCAAGUCGAACGGAAAGGCCCUGCUUUUGUGGGGUGCUCGAGUGGCGAACGGGUGAGUAACACGUGAGUAACCUGCCCUUGACUUUGGGAUAACUUCAGGAAACUGGGGCUAAUACCGGAUAGGAGCUCCUGCUGCAUGGUGGGGGUUGGAAAGUUUCGGCGGUUGGGGAUGGACUCGCGGCUUAUCAGCUUGUUGGUGGGGUAGUGGCUUACCAAGGCUUUGACGGGUAGCCGGCCUGAGAGGGUGACCGGCCACAUUGGGACUGCGAUACGGCCCAGACUCCUACGGGAGGCAGCAGUGGGGAAUAUUGCACAAUGGGCGGAAGCCUGAUGCAGCAACGCCGCGUGCGGGAUGACCUCCUUCGGGUUGUAAACCACUUUCUCCUGUGACGAAGCGUGAGUGACGGUAAUGGGUAAAGAAGCACCGGCUAACUACGUG